rnacentral:rRNA from 1 species
GCUAGCGUUGUUCGGAAUUACUGGGCGUAAAGCGCACGUAGGCGGCUUUGUAAGUUAGAGGUGAAAGCCCGGGGCUCAACUCCGGAACUGCCUUUAAGACUGCAUCGCUUGAAUCCAGGAGAGGUGAGUGGAAUUCCGAGUGUAGAGGUGAAAUUCGUAGAUAUUCGGAAGAACACCAGUGGCGAAGGCGGCUCACUGGACUGGUAUUGACGCUGAGGUGCGAAAGCGUGGGGAGCAAACAGG